rnacentral:rRNA from 1 species
GACGAACGCUGGCGGCGUGCUUAACACAUGCAAGUCGAGCGGUAAGGCCCUUUCGGGGGUACACGAGCGGCGAACGGGUGAGUAACACGUGGGUGACCUGCCCUCAGCUCUGGGAUAAGCCUGGGAAACCGGUCUAAUACUGGAUAUGACUCCAUGACGCAUGUUGUGGGGUGGAAAGCCUUGUGCGGCUGAGGAUGGGCCCGCGGCCUAUCAGCUUGUUGGUGGGGUGANGGCCUACCAAGGCGACGACGGGUAGCCGGCCUGAGAGGGCGACCGGCCACACUGGGAC